rfam:Bacillus wakoensis JCM 9140 DNA, contig:contig_95.
CAAAGCAAGAAGAAGCGCCCGCUUCUCACCUGAUGACGCGUAUGCAGUUUACAGGUAUAAACAGUUUCAUUUCUAAGAAUGGACUAAGUGUGGGCGUAUUGUGCCUACGCUUUUUUGUACUU